GACGAACGCUGGCGGCGCGCUUAACACAUGCAAGUCGAACGGAAAGGCCUGCUUUCCCUUGUGGAUUGCGGGUACUCGAGUGGCGAACGGGUGAGUAACACGUGAGUGAUCUGCCCCCAACUUGGGUAUAAGCCUGGGAAACUGGGUCUAAUUCCCGAUAGGACUGCAGGGUGGUGCCUGUGGUGGAAAACGAUUUUCUAGUGGUUGGGGAUGAGCUCGCGGCCUAUCAGCUUGUUGGUGGGGUAAUGGCCUACCAAGGCGGCGACGGGUAGCCGGCCUGAGAGGGUGGACGGCCACAUUGGGACUGAGAUACGGCCCAGACUCCUACGGGAGGCAGCAGUGGGGAAUAGUGCACAAUGGGCGGAAGCCUGAUGCAGCGACGCCGCGUGGGGGAUGACGGCCUUCGGGUUGCAAACUCCUUUCGACCGCGAGGAAGCCACCUGGUUGGAAGGGUGGUGACGGUAGUGGUAGAAGAAGCACCGGCUAACUACGUG
rnacentral:rRNA from 1 species